rnacentral:misc_RNA from 1 species
ACACCUCAACUCCUCAUGGUUUGCCAUGAUGGGCUUGGACUUGGGGGCUUGCUGGCCACUAUGGUCGGCUCCUCUCAAAUGAAUCAGCUUGCCAGUGUUUGGUGGCGUCACAGGUGUGAUAACUAUCUACGCUUGUGGUCUCCCCACCAGGUAACCUUCAGCAAUGGGGGUUCACUGGGGCUCAUAAACGUCUCUCCUCUGUGAGAGACAGCUCUUGAAC